UAAAGAUUCAUCGCUGAUAGAUAGGCAUGCGUUCCAUUAGGCAGUUGGCGGGGUAACGGCCCACCAAACCGACGAUGGAUAGGGGUUCUGAGAGGAAGGUCCCCCACAUUGGUACUGAGACACGGACCAAACUCCUACGGGAGGCAGCAGUGAGGAAUAUUGGUCAAUGGGCGUAAGCCUGGACCAGCCAAGUCGCGUGAGGGAUGAAGGUUCUAUGGAUCGUAAACCUCUUUUAUAAGGGAAUAAAGUGUGGGACGUGUCCUGUUUUGUAUGUACCUUAUGAAUAAGGAUCGGCUAACUCCGUGCCAGCAGCCGCGGUAAUACGGAGGAUCCGAGCGUUAUCCGGAUUUAUUGGGUUUAAAGGGUGCGUAGGCGGCCUUUUAAGUCAGCGGUGAAAGUCUGUGGCUCAACCAUAGAAUUGCCGUUGAAACUGGGAGGCUUGAGUAUGUUUGAGGCAGGCGGAAUGCGUGGUGUAGCGGUGAAAUGCCUAGAUAUCACGCAGAACCCCGAUUGCGAAGGCAGCCUGCCAAGCCAUGACUGACGCUGAUGCACGAAAGCGUGGGGAUCAAACAGGAUUAGAUACCCUGGUAGUCCACGCAGUAAACGAUGAUCACUAGCUGUUUGCGAUACAGUGUAA
rnacentral:rRNA from 1 species